rnacentral:rRNA from 1 species
UACGAAGGAUGCGAGCGUUAUCCGGAUUUAUUGGGUUUAAAGGGAGCGUAGGCGGUCUUAUAAGUCAGUGGUGAAAUCUCGUUGCUUAACAACGAACGUGCCAUUGAUACUGUAGGACUUGAGUACAGUUGCCGUUGGCGGAAUGUGUCAUGUAGCGGUGAAAUGCAUAGAUAUGACACAGAACACCGAUUGCGAAGGCAGCUGGCUAAGCCGUCACUGACGCUGAGGCACGAAAGCGUGGGGGAGCGAACAGG